rnacentral:rRNA from 1 species
UGCAGUCGACGGUAACAGGUCUUCGGAUGCUGACGAGUGGCGAACGGGUGAGUAAUACAUCGGAACGUGCCUAGUAGUGGGGGAUAACUACUCGAAAGAGUAGCUAAUACCGCAUGAGAUCUACGGAUGAAAGCAGGGGACCUUUGGGCCUUGUGCUACUAGAGCGGCUGAUGGCAGAUUAGGUAGUUGGUGGGGUAAAGGCUUACCAAGCCUGCGAUCUGUAGCUGGUCUGAGAGGACGACCAGCCACACUGGGACUGAGACACGGCCCAGACUCCUACGGGAGGCAGCAGUGGGGAAUUUUGGACAAUGGGCGAAAGCCUGAUCCAGCAAUGCCGCGUGCAGGAUGAAGGCCCUCGGGUUGUAAACUGCUUUUGUACGGAACGAAAAGCCUGGGGCUAAUAUCCCCGGGUCAUGACGGUACCGUAAGAAUAAGCACCGGCUAACUACGUGCCAGCAGCCGCGGUAAUACGUAGGGUGCAAGCGUUAAUCGGAAUUACUGGGCGUAAAGCGUGCGCAGGCGGAUUUGUAAGACAGUGGUGAAAUCCCCGGGCUCAACCUGGGAACUGCCAUUGUGACUGCAAGGCUAGAGUGCGGCAGAGGGGGAUGGAAUUCCGCGUGUAGCAGUGAAAUGCGUAGAUAUGCGGAGGAACACCGAUGGCGAAGGCAAUCCCCUGGGCCUGCACUGACGCUCAUGCACGAAAGCGUGGGGAGCAAACAGGAUUAGAUACCCUGGUAGUCCACGCCCUAAACGAUGUCAACUGGUUGUUGGGUCUUAACUGACUCAGUAACGAAGCUAACGCGUGAAGUUGACCGCCUGGGGAGUACGGCCGCAGGUUGAAACUCAAAGGA